rnacentral:lncRNA from 1 species
UCGAAAUGAAAGACAGAUAACAAAAAUUCAGGGAUGAUAGGAACCAAAAAAACAACCAUGGAUAAAGGAGGGCAGUUAAAUCUAAGCCUUGAGGCGACCAAAGAACUUCUGUUUCUCCUGUGUUGUCUGGAAGCGUCCAUGGCCAAACUUGGAGGAUGUAUCGAUGAACUUAAGUUUGAUCUCCUCAAGAGCCACACGAGAAGUUUGUUUGAGAAGAGACUGACGAAGGGUGAUGACCCUCUUCUUGGGUCCAACACAACCUCCCUUAAUCAUCAAGUAGUCACUCUUCACGAUACCGUAGUGAGGGAAACCACCCAUGGGAGUAAUGUCCUUCUCAGUCCUGUUUCAAACAAAGGAAGCAAAAUAAGAGACAAAAUACGAGAGCUACUUUGAAAUCGCUAUUCAACCUAAUGUAGCAAGCUAACCUGUCGAAUUCAGUAAUAGCAGUGUGCGAUUCCUGCCCCGUCUUUCCAAUUUUGUAGACCUUUUUGUUCAUUUCAGUUCGGUGAUGGUAACCGUUCUGACCAG